rnacentral:rRNA from 1 species
GGAUGCGAUCAUACCAGCACUAAUGCACCGGAUCCCAUCAGAACUCCGAAGUUAAGCUGUGCUUGGCGAGAGUAAGUACUAGGAAUGGGUGACCCCUGGGAAGUCCUCGUGUUGCAUCCC